AACCGACUGACCCACCCAGGCGCCCCUAAUUUCUUAAUUUUUUUUUUACGUUUAUCAGGAUUGUUUUAGUAAGUUUCAUGUAUCUAUCAGCUAAAACCUGUUUAAUAGUGAUUUCCCAUAGCAAGUGUUUCUAUUUUUUGGUUUUUCCCCCAAAUCGUAUUUAUCAGUUCUUUCUUUUUUCUGAUUAUAAAAAUAAACCCCAAAAGUAUUAAACAGCAUAAAGAAAAAAAACCCAAAGAAAAAAAACCCAAAUAUGUAUAUAUGUGUUAAUAUAGCUGUCUUUUUCUUUAAAUAAAUUCUUAAUGUUAACUGGACAUAGAGUGUGGUCAUAUUUAAAGAUUUGGAAAAAACUGACAAAUUGUAUUUUUUAAUGGCCGAAGGACAUGAAUUUAAAAAAAUGACAGACUAGAAAUGCAAAUAGGACUUUAUUAAAUUUUAAACGGCAGGUCAUUUUUAGCUGUCAAAUAGAACUUUGUGCAUUCAUUCAAGUGCUGGCCAUGUAUCAGACACCAAGCAAUUGCCCCUCACCCCCCCGCCCCCCAAACAAUGAAAGAAAAAACACAAUAGAUAUGGCCUCAUGGAACUUUUAGUCUGAAGGAAAUACACCAUUUAUUGAACCCUUUUUGUGUGCCGGGAGUACACAAAGCACUUACAAACACUAUUGCAUCUAUUCUCAAAACUCUAUGAGGUGGGUAUUUUUACCUACUGAAUGAGGAAGCAGAUGUUCAGAGACUGACUUGUAUGAGUCACAUGGCUAUACAGGCUGUGGGUGGAAGUCCAACCCUGACUAACUCCAAAGAUCUCACCAUUAGCUUCUGGGUGAAGGAAUAUUGGAAAGCCUAAAAUCAAUGGAGGAAACUUUUUUCAAUAUAUUUCAAAAAAUUAAAUAAAUGAGUCUGUAUGGUUAGGGUGUAGUGAAAGAGGUUCCCUCGUGUUGCUAGAGUAUAAACGGAUACAUCCUUUCUGCAAAGCAAUCUGGUAAAAUAUUAGAAGUCUUAAAGUAUUUUCAUCCCCUUUACCUGGAAUUCUGUUGUUUUAACUCUACCCUAAGGAGAGAAUCAGAAAUGUGAUUAAAGAUUUAUGUACAAUUGGUGGAAUAUUUGAUAAAAAAUUGUGUGUGUGUGUGUGUGUGUGUUGCAGAUUAAGUGGCAAAAUCGUGGAAUGUCUGGAAUUUGCCGCAUCAUAAACUAGGAGAGGAAAAAUCGAUUGAAGCUGGAUGUUGGAUACAUAUACCAUUUAUACUCAGAAAAAAAAUUUAUGGAAGACAACAACCCCCCCAUCUAUGACAGGUCCCUUAUUAUUGUCACUGUCAGAGGUGGGUCACUGGUCUGAUCAGCCAACGGAACCAAUGUGAGCCAGUAACAGUUUGGAGUCAUAUAUUAGGACAUCACUGGCAGAGAGGAAAUCAAACUGUUAGCUUGGUCAUUUAUACCCUAUACUUCUGCAAGGCACAACCAGUUGUGUUUUUGUGAGACACUUCCAUUAUCCAGUGAUGGAAGUAUGUGAAAACAUGUAUCCAUCCAUCAUCCAGCUUCAAUCCAUUUUUCCUCUUCUAGUCUAGUUUAUUUUGGGGCAAAUUCCAGACAUGGCAUGAUUUUAUCACUUAAUCUGGAAGACACACACACAAUUUUUUAUCAAAUUAACAGCUCUGCCUUAACUCUUCGGGUGUUUUGGAAUUUUUUGUCUUUAAAAAACAUUCUAUUUUUGUUCUCACAUAUUCAUGCAUUUAGUAAGACCUGCUCUGUGCCAGGUACCAUGCUAGGCUUGCUUUAAAAGAUGAAAAGAACAGAAUGCCUGCACUCAAAGAAGCUCAGUUUAGUGAGAGAGGCCAACAUAGAUAGUUGUUAUGUUGUGUACGAAGACUGUGGGUAGAGGUAAGCUCAGGAUGGACCAUCAAGCUCAAGCUGGGGGCCCACAGUCUUUCUGGAAGUCACCUGCUGCUAAGGUCCUUUACUUAGCAGUUCACUUUCUAGGUAUAGUAUAAAUGGUGUGGUCAUCUUCCCCACACAAUUUAAAGUAGAUUUUAUUAUUCUGCCCUUAAUUCCAGGCUUUUAUGGUAUCCUUAAUGAGAUUUUUUUUUAAGUUAAUUUGAGAGAGAAUGUGUGCAUGCUCACACAUGAGUGGGGGAGGGGCAAAGACAGAGGGAGAGAGAGAGAGAGAGAGAGAGAGAGAGAGAGAAUCCCAAGCAGGCUCUUUCCUGUCAGCACAGAGCCGGAUGGGAGGCUCUAAUAGACCCCUAAUACCAAGAUCAUGACCUGAGCCGAAAUCAAGUCAGAUGAUCAACAAACUGAGCCACCCAGGCGCCCCAUGAUUUUUUUAAUAGUUUUACUGGUUGGUCAAGAUGUGACUUUUACAUUCAGAUCCUACUUGUUUACUUCACUGUGUACAGCUUUUCCUCAGAGAAAUGUGAUCAUCAUAUUUCAAAUACCACAGACUUCCUCGGUUCCAUUGCCUGCAAGCUGAACUUUCAACUGUAAUUGCUAGAAUUUGUCUUUAUCGUAGUACUAACUUUCUAAAAUAGAAAUCAGCAGAAAAUUAAUAUGAGAAAAAGACAACUUUUUUUUCUGGAGCUCAAAACUAAUGGCCUCAAGGGGCAAUUAAAAAAAAAAAAAGUAUUAGAGCACUUUUCAAGAGUGUAAGAUCAAUGAUAGCUAUUGCUUAUAUCUCGUGAAAAUGAGUUGCAGAUCCGGUGAUGCCUUCUAGAAAUAUAAUUUUUACUUGGUAUUGUUUAUAAAAACAGGAAACAUCAUUCCUCCGCCUAUAAGAUGCAAUAUUAACCAAAUGGCUUAAGUACCAUGCUUCAUUAUCUUCUUCCACUUUCUGAGGAUCUGAUUUGAAACAAAGCACACAGCAGAAAUAAAAGAGAAGUAGAAAAAAUAGCUCAGUAGCAAUUAAGACCAUUGAAUUAGAGCUGGUGCUAGGAAAUAUGACUCAACCUGUAGGAUUACAGAAAAUCUUCAAACAUUAAUUCCAUGGCUCCAUCUACUAGAGGAAUCCUAUCCUCUCUUUGCCCCUUCAGAGAUCUGAUGAAGAAAUAUCCAUUUCUUCACUGAAAUCAAGUGGUUCAUUAGCAACAGAGCCAGGAAAUAUUUUCACAGAAGGUAGGUUUUACAUCGAGUUUGGAAGGUAGAGGUUCAGGGGUGCCUGGGUGGCUCAGUCGGUUGAGCAUCUGACUCGAUUUCAGCUCAGGUCAUGAUCCCAGGGGCAUGCGAUCAAGCCCCACGAUGGCCUCCGUGCUGAGCAUGGAGUCUGCUUGCGAUUCUCUCUCUCUCCCUCUGCUCCUCCCCUGAAAAAGAGGAACUCAGGAAAAGGAGUACUCCGAAAAAUUAAGACUUGCUUCCUGGGUUGUCUGAAUCCAAGUCCAAUGUCUACCACUGUAUAUAUAUAUAUAUAUGUGUGUGUGUGUGUAUAUAUAUAUAUAUAUAUAUACACAUAUAUAUAUGUGUGUGUGUAUAUAUAUAUACACAUAUAUAUAUAGUGUGUGUGUGCUAUAUAUAUAUGUGCGAUAUAGAUACAGAUAUAGAUAUAGAUAUAGAUAUAGAUAUAGAUAUAGAUAUAGAUAUAGAUAUAUCUACUACGAUUUCCCCUGUCUGGGCACUGUGCAAGGUUCUAGAGGUAACAUUAGGAAUAACAUCAUCCUGGCCUUGAAGAGCUGACAGUAUAGUGGGAAAGACAGAUAAGUCACACAUAGUGGGGUACAACAAGGGAAGCACACGUCAUUGGCAUGGGUUACAUGUUACAGGAGCACCUUUAAAUGAGUCGAUAGGGCAACGCUGCUUGUUCUGAGGUUGUGGCAGUCGGGGGGGGUCAGUGAGUCUUCACAGGAGAGAGAGCACUUCAAGUAGGUCUUCAAGAAUGAAGAGGAGUUUCUCUGGCUCUGGGAUUCAGAGAGAGGAUGACUGUAGACAGAAAUAGCAUCUUCGAAUGCACAGCAUCCUAAACGGGAUGGGCCGUGAGAUGACCCCAAGAUUCUGACUGUGGUGAACAAGUGAACAAGAAAAGGAGCAAGUGUAAGAGAGUGAGGGAAGGACAGGAUAUAAUGAGUUUAGUUUGGAGCUUGUUGAAUUUUAAGUGUGUGUGGGUAUUCCAAGUAGAAAUGUCCAGGCAGCAGUCGAAUGUAUAAUUUCAAUCUGGAGCUUUCAAGAGUGUUGGUAAGUAGAAAUACAGAUCUUGGAGUCACUUGUGAGUGAUGGUGCAACCAGUGGAGAUGGUUGAGGUCGCCUAGGGGACAUGUAAUUCAAGAGGAGCAGAUAAUGGAAGAUGGCAUUCUGGAGCACCAACAGAAGCUAGCAGUUCUGUGGUGAUACAACUAAUGCAACCACUUAUCUGCUUUAUGGAUUAAAUGGGCUAUUACAAGUUGGCCCAAUACCCGCUCCACCAUUUAUAAAACUUCCCAUGUAAAAGUGCAGAGUAAGUUCAAACAACUUACAGAAGUAUUUGGAGCCACAAACUGUAAGUUAGACUUCCCUUCACUUAUCCUAAAUGUAUCAUUUUAGCCUGUGGCUCCAAGGUACUGGAACUUGGAAACUGAUUCCAAGUGUAACAUGCCCACACACUGCGUUUCUAUUGCAUUGAGAAUAUCUUAAGCCAUAUUUUAUAUGUCAAGUCUACUUGAUUCAUUUCUUUUAUAUUUUAGAGAGAGAAAGAGAGCAGGAUAGAAGGGCAGAGAGAGAGAGAGGGAAUCUUAAGCAAGCUCCACACUUAGUGUGGAGACCAGCUCGGGGCUCCAUCCCACGACCCUGGGAUCACGACCUGAGCUGAAAUCAAGAGUUGGACGCUCAACCAACUGAGCCACCCAGGAGCCCUUAUUUGAUUCAUUUGUAACUAAAGUAGGAUGACAUCCAACCUUUGCCAUUAAAAUAGAUCAACUAUGAGUGACUGUCGUUGCCUGGCAGGAUGCUAAUUGUUCUUUCUUCCCCUCUGCCACGAUGAUUGGCACCAGAGAAGAUUUGUGGGUGUGGUGAGUUUUGAACUCAAGUAGGACCUUUUCAGGAACUAAUAUUGGUGUCAAAGGAGCAAUUGCUUGCAGAUGGAGUGAGGCUCUCAAUUCUCUAUUAUUAUUCUAUAAUUAUAUUACUAUUCUAUAAUUCUUGGUCUUGUGAAUACUUGUGAGGUGACUGCCUAUUUUCCUUUUGUUUCAAGUCCACUCGAAAGAGUUAAACUCUCCUCUGUUCCUCAGUAUGUUUAAUGCAUGUGACUAUAAUUAGAGACCAAAAUAUAAUUACUAUUUGGCACAUCCUGA